UACGUAGGCAGCGAGCGUUGUUCGGAAUUACUGGGCGUAAAGAGUGUGUAGGCGGUGUUCCCAGUCUGUUGUGAAAUCUCCCGGCUUAACUGGGAGGGUGCAGCGGAAACUAGAAUGCUAGAGGGUGGGAGAGGUAAGCGGAAUUCCUGGUGUAGCGGUGAAAUGCGUAGAUAUCAGGAGGAACACCUGUGGUGUAGACGGCUUCUGGACCAUUGCUGACGCUGAGACACGAAAGCGUGGGUAGCAAACAGG
rnacentral:rRNA from 1 species